GGUAUAUUACUCAGGCUCGGUUCUAGCGGCUGAUACCCGCUAGAGGUAACGGGGAAAGUCCGGUGUAAAUCCGGCGCUGUCCCGCAACUGUGAGGAGAGACGCAACUCUUUAAGUCAGAAUGCCCGCCGAAGUGUAAAACCAUCA
rnacentral:ncRNA from 2 species